UACUUACUCCCUCCGUCCGAAAAUACUUGUCCUAGAGAUAAAUGUAUCUAGACUUAUUUUAGUUAUAGAUACAUCCAUUAUAUCCAUUUCUAGGACAAGUAUUUUCGGACGGAGGGAGUAUUUU
rfam:Hordeum vulgare subsp. vulgare, WGS project CAJW01000000 data, contig: morex_contig_101444